GACGAACGCUGGCGGCGUGCUUAACACAUGCAAGUCGAACGAAGUGGCGAACGGGUGAGUAACGCGUAAUCAACCUGCCCUUCAGAGGGGGACAACAGUUGGAAACGACUGCUAAUACCGCAUACGGAAGGAGGGGAUGGAGGGGGAUUGGCUAGUUGGGGGGGUAACGGCCCACCAAGGCGAUGAUCAGUAGCCGGUCUGAGAGGAUGAACGGCCACAAUGGGACGUAGGCACGGCCCAGACGCCUACGGUGGGCAGCAGUGGGGAAUCAUCCGAAAUGGACGAAAGUCUGACGCAGCAACGCCGCGGGAGUGAUGACGGCCUUCGGGUUGUAAAGCUCUGUUAAUCGGGACGCGGUACCGGAAUAGAAAGCCACGGCUAACUACGUGCCAGCAGCCGCGGUAAUAC
rnacentral:rRNA from 1 species